ACUGUGAAGUCACAAGAGGCCCUGAGCUCUGUGGGCCCCAGGUGCCCCGGGAAAACUUGGGGGAGAAUGGGCAUCCCACCCCAGCACUUUCUAGGAAGAAGGGCAGCAUUUUGAAGGGCUGGAAGUAGAGGAAGGAGGUUGCGGGUAGAAGACUCCAUACUUUCUGUGACGCCUAUUCCUUAGGAAUCAAGGCUAUCUGUAAUCACAGGGCUAUUUGAAAAAGAGAAGAAAAGGUGUCUUGAAAUUCAACCAACAUGUUUCAAUUAUUUGCUCCUAAGAACAACAGAAGUUUCAACAUUCUGCCAACAGAGUAACUCCUGGAAGAUUGGCACAGAAGAAGGCACAAGGUAAAUACCCAUCUCUGUACACCCCGUGCUACCAUGUCAUGUGCUGCUCCAGGCAACUCCAAUGGAUUGGCCACCCUGGCCAGUGAUAACACAUAAAAAUUCCACUCAGUAUUGGGACCAAUAGAUAAUGAACACAGUCAGUGGAAUUCCUUCGCAGGCUUCUUCAAGAUAUUCUGCAAGACUGAUUUCCCUUCUUCUUGCCAAGAUUUUUUCCUCCUUCUUCUAGGAAGUCAGUGAUAAAAAUAUUUAAGCAGCUUUGUCUGCCUUAGACCUUCCAACUAAAAGUACAGCAAGUGGAAUGGAAUGCUAAUAUGAGGAUCCAAAUUUUCAGGGAAGGAGGAGAGCCUUUAUAUAACCAAAGAUAUUUUUGGACCAUGAAUUCAGAAAUUCUCGGAGCCACCCAUCAGUGCCUGAGCUUCAGUGAGUCCAUAUCCCAUGUCACCCACGGCAAAGGAGACUCUAAGACUUCUGAAGAGUUUCUUGCUUCUUUCCUGUGGGGCAGUGACUCCACUUCCCAGCAGUAAUGGAAUAUCCUGAAUUAGCUACAUUAAUGUUAGAACCAUUUGGACCUCACCCAGGACUUCAACUACAUUAUGAGUAACUCCUGGACGAUUGGCACAGAAGAAGGCACAAGGUUCUAGUAUGUUACGUUUAUGUUCCCCUGCUUUCUACAAUCCUGUUCAAAGAGUUGCUGACUUAACCACAGAGAGGAUUCCAGAACCUGAGACACAGAAUAAACUUGAGCAAUCAUAGUCCAUCCACUUCAUUGUCUCAUCAAAAACCAAAGGUCCAGUGAAGCUCUGGAACUCAACGCUGUAAAGGAGCGAAGGAGCUUCUAUACAGAGCCUGGAUGCCUGUCUCCUUAUCCUACUUCAGUGGACUUGACUGCAAUCCGGAUUAUGCUGUUUUCUAAGCAUUUAAAAUAAAAUAAAAAGUAUAAUAGUGUGAUAAGUUCUUUCACAAAGCAAGCAAUCACAUUUAUGUUUCUACUUACAUUUGGGUUUUCCAAAUAUGUGUGUGUGUGUGUGUGUGUGUGUGUGUGUGUGUAUGUAGACUUUAAACAUGGUGCAUCCAUCAUGUUGCACUAAAUCAAAACCACCAAAUAAUGAUGUAGAACUAAUAAAUCAAAACCAUCAAAUAAUGACAUAGAAAUCCAAUUCUCCCACCUUACACCCAUUAAGAUGGCUACU
rnacentral:lncRNA from 1 species